GGCAAGAUGGCCGAGCGGUCUAAGGCGCUAGCUUCAGGCUUCGGAUUUCGGCCUUCCAGGCGGUCUUCCACCUUGAGCAUGCUAGUGUGGCAACACGCGUGGGUUCGAAUCCCACUCUUGUCA
rnacentral:tRNA from 1 species